rnacentral:rRNA from 1 species
AGCGAACGCUGGCGGCAGGCCUAACACAUGCAAGUCGAACGAAGUCUUCGGACUUAGUGGCGGACGGGUGAGUAACACGUGGGAACGUGCCUUUAGGUUCGGAAUAACUCAGGGAAACUUGUGCUAAUACCGAAUGCGCCCUUCGGGGGAAAGAUUUAUCGCGUUUAGAGCGGCCCGCGUCUGAUUAGCUAGUUGGUGAGGUAAAGGCUCACCAAGGCGACGAUCAGUAGCUGGUCUGAGAGGAUGAUCAGCCACAUUGGGACUGAGACACGGCCCAAACUCCUACGGGAGGCAGCAGUGGGGAAUCUUGCGCAAUGGGCGAAAGCCUGACGCAGCCAUGCCGCGUGAAUGAUGAAGGUCUUAGGAUUGUAAAAUUCUUUCACCGGGGACGAUAAUGACGGUACCCGGAGAAGAAGCCCCGGCUAACUUCGUGCCAGCCGCCGCUGUAAUAC